rnacentral:rRNA from 1 species
AAAAUGACAAAUAUGGUUCGAUGGCUCUUCUCUACUAACCACAAGGAUAUUGGGACUCUCUAUUUCAUCUUCGGUGCCAUUGCAGGAGUGAUGGGCACAUGCUUCUCCGUACUGAUUCGUAUGGAAUUAGCCCGACCCGGCGAUCAAAUUCUUGGUGGGAAUCAUCAACUUUAUAAUGUUUUAAUAAUGGCUCGCGCUUUUUUAAUGAUCUUUUUUAUGGUUAUGCUGGCGAUGAUAGGUGGAUUUGGUAAUUGGUUUGUUCCGAUUCUGAUAGGUGCACCUGACAUGGCAUUUCCACGAUUAAAUAAUAUAUCAUUCUGGUUGUUGCCACCAAGUCUCUUGCUCCUAUUAAGCUCAGCCUUAGUAGAAGUGGGCAGCGGCACUGGGUGGACAGUCUAUCCGCCCUUAAGUGGUAUUACCAGCCAUUCUGGAGGAGCAGUUGAUUUAGCAAUUUUUAGUCUUCAUCUAUCAGGUAUUUCAUCAAUUUUAGGUUCUAUCAAUUUUAUAACAUCUAUC